rnacentral:hammerhead_ribozyme from 1 species
GCAUGGCUGAUGAGUCCCACAAUGGGACGAAACGGCCAUCCAAUAC